CAAAGCCAAAAAAAGUUCAACUUACCUAAAUGUGACCAUUCAAACUCCAUCAUCUCUCACUUCUGGAGUUGUUGCUUAUAUUUGUAGCAGCGGUGUAGUAAAGCCUUUUUCCACAACCAAAAGUCUCUUCUCAAGUAAAAUGAAAAACCGUGAAUUAAUUUCGGUUAGUAGAACCUGCAAAAGGAACCGUAAUCAAGUUUAUGAAAGACAUGGUUCAAAUCUUAUUAUAAGAUACACUGGUGCAAAUCAUACCAUAUAUAUACAAAUCAUUUUAACGGACAAAGUACUCUCAAUAAUAAAUCAUGUUAUGAUCACUCAAGGCAUGAAAUUAAACCACAACCUCCUAAACAGAGUUGAUGCAUAUUAGUUCCUUUUCAAUAAGGUGCUAUAUAUCAACAAAGGCUAAUUUUGAAAUUAUCAACUUAUGUGUUUAUGGUUAAAAAAUAAUAGGAAGGUUUGUUCAUGCAAAUGAAGCACUAACUAAAAUUUCCUACUAAUAAGGCAUAUCUUAAUAGAUUAAAUCAAACUAACAGUCACUAUUCCUAGUUAGUUAAUGGCUGAUGUCUAUGCACAUGUGGAAAAAGGGAAAGAAACCAAACCUCUUCAUUAUUGUGUGACUGCAAAAGAAAAAAAAAAUCAGAAUUUUUUUAACCUGAUUGCAAUUAAAAAAUAAAUAAAAGGCUUAAUAAUGUCAUGUAAUUAUAGGUUGUGUGGUGAAGAUAUCAAUUUAAUCUUUUUUUUGAAAUAGGCAUUGGGAAACCAAGCUGAAUCUUUUAUUGUGUGACUCCAAAAAAAAGAUUAUUUGUGUUUGUAGUUGUUCAAUCCGGAUAUAUACAUCAAGCCUAUUAGAGUUUUUUUCUCAUUUCCAAGCUGAAAAAUAAUACUAACCAUGCUUAUGUUAUGCACAUGCCUAUAGUAGUUGUUUAAUUU
rnacentral:lncRNA from 1 species